rnacentral:rRNA from 1 species
UUUUGUUACUUUGAGUAAAUUAGAGUGUUCAAAGCAAACAGUUAAAGCAUUUUACUGCGUUUGAAUACUACAGCAUGGAAUAACAAAAUUGAACAAGUCAAAACUCUGUUCCUUUUUCUUAUUUUGGCUUAGUUACGAUUAAUAGGAGUAGCUUGGGGGCAUUUGUAUUCAGAUGUCAGAGGUGAAAUUCUUAGAUUUUCUGGAGACAAACAACUGCGAAAGCAUUUGCCUAAAAUACUUCCAUUAAUCAAGAACGAAAGUUAAGGGAGUGAAGACGAUCAGAUACCGUCGUAAUCUUAACCAUAAACUAUGCCGACUAGGUUUUGGAUGAAAGAUUUUUAAAUAAGAAAAUUCCUUUUGGAAAUUUCUUAGAUUGCUUCCUUCAGUACCUUAUGAGAAAUCAAAGUCUUUGGGUUCUGGGGCGAGUAUUCGCGCAAGCGAGAAAGUUAAAAGAAUUGACGGAAGGGCACCACCAGGCGUGGAGCUUGCGGCUUAAUUUGACUCAACACGGGGAAACUCACUAGUUUAAGACAAGAGUAGGAUUGACAGAUUAAUAGCUCUUUCUUGAUUUCUUGGAUGGUGAUGCAUGGCCGUUUUUAGUUCGUGAAUAUGAUUUGUCUGGUUAAUUCCGAUAACGAACGAGAUCUUAACCUGCUAAUUAGCGGCGAAUACGUUAUAUUCCUACUUGAAAUUGAAUAUAGCUGAAUUUGCUUAUUUUGAAGAAUA